UACGUAGGGUGCAAGCGUUGUCCGGAAUUAUUGGGCGUAAAGAGCUCGUAGGCGGUCUGUCGCGUCGGAUGUGAAACCUCGGGGCUCAACCCCGAGCCUGCAUUCGAUACGGGCAGACUAGAGUUCGGUAGGGGAGACUGGAAUUCCUGGUGUAGCGGUGAAAUGCGCAGAUAUCAGGAGGAACACCUGUGGUGUAGACAGCUUACUGGACCACUUCUGACGCUGAGACACGAAAGCGUGGGUAGCAAACAGG
rnacentral:rRNA from 1 species